rnacentral:rRNA from 1 species
AUUGAACGCUGGCGGCAUGCCUUACACAUGCAAGUCGAACGGUAACAGGUUAAGCUGACGAGUGGCGAACGGGUGAGUAAUGUAUCGGAACGUGCCCAGUCGUGGGGGAUAACUACUCGAAAGAGUGGCUAAUACCGCAUACGACCUGAGGGUGAAAGCGGGGGACCGUAAGGCCUCGCGCGAUUGGAGCGGCCGAUAUCAGAUUAGCUAGUUGGUGGGGUAAAAGCCCACCAAGGCGACGAUCUGUAGCUGGUCUGAGAGGACGACCAGCCACACUGGGACUGAGACACGGCCCAGACUCCUACGGGAGGCAGCAGUGGGGAAUUUUGGACAAUGGACGCAAGUCUGAUCCAGCCAUGCCGCGUGCGGGAAGAAGGCCUUCGGGUUGUAAACCGCUUUUGUCAGGGAAGAAACGAGUUUCUCUAAUACAGAGACUUAAUGACGGUACCUGAAGAAUAAGCACCGGCUAACUACGUGCCAGCCGCCGCCGUAACAC